AAUGUUGACAGUUGUAUGGAACACAUUUUAUUGCUAAGAUGCUCAAACUUAACUUAAUAGCUACACUCACUGACAAAGGAUACAUUUUAUCCCUCAGGCUGGCCCUGGGCAAACUGUCUAGGAUGAAAAUGGCCUCAUCUAUGGGCAGACCCAUGACUGAAGCUGUACAGGCCAGAGAAGAAGGCGAAGGUCCUGAAGAAGGUGGUGAAUGACAUGAUAGAGGAGAGCUGCCUGGCACACAGCUGUGGAGUCCUACAGUUGGUCAGUGUGCCUCUGCCUCUUAUCUGUACAGAAUGACUUAGAGACAUCACAGACUCAGGAAUGCGUAAUGCUUUACCUCUAACAUUGUUAUUUCUACCAUUGUUAUUACAGUCCCUAGAUCAGCGGUUCCCAAACCAGAGGUCGCG
rnacentral:lncRNA from 1 species